CGGACGGGUGAGUAACGCGUGGAAAACCUGCCGUAUACUGGGGGAUAACACUUAGAAAUAGGUGCUAAUACCGCAUAAGCGCACAGCUUCGCAUGAAGCGGUGUGAAAAACUCUGGUGGUAUACGAUGGUUCCGCGUCUGAUUAGCUAGUUGGUGGGGUAAUGGCCUACCAAGGCAACGAUCAGUAGCCGGACUGAGAGGUUGGCCGGCCACAUUGGGACUGAGAUACGGCCCAGACUCCUACGGGAGGCAGCAG
rnacentral:rRNA from 1 species